AGGUAAUUCUUUCUAAAACCUUUAUGUUAUGGCGGCCCAUUUUCUUUUUAGAGGAACUUGUUAAAUAAUCGUUAAUACCCGAUCAAUUUUUCUAAAUUUACUAAUUUCUAUAUCGCUGUCUAAAGAAUAACCUCAUUUUUUUAUUCUAAAUAGAUUUUCAAAGUCAAGUCAAGGUGGAGUCUAUAUCUUAGUUCUUUUCAAGUUACUUAUUCUUGAAAUUUUUAGAAAAAUAUCUAAAGAUCAUUUAGAAAUAGGAUUUAAUAGUAAGAACAAAACAAAAAUUUAUCCUGAAUAAGAUAAUUAGGUGUAC
rnacentral:rRNA from 1 species